rnacentral:rRNA from 1 species
GUGGGGAAUAUUGGACAAUGGGCGAAAGCCUGAUCCAGCCAUGCCGCGUGUGUGAAGAAUGUCUUCGGAUUGUAAAGCACUUUAAGUUGGGAGGAAGGGUAGUAACCUAAUACGUUGCUACUUUGACGUUACCGACAGAAUAAGCACCGGCUAACUUCGUGCCAGCAGCCGCGGUAAUACGAAGGGUGCAAGCGUUAAUCGGAAUUACUGGGCGUAAAGCGCGCGUAGGUGGUUCAGUAAGUUGGAAGUGAAAUCCCCGGGCUCAACCUGGGAACUGCUUUCAAAACUGCUGAGCUAGAGUACGGUAGAGGGUGGUGGAAUUUCCUGUGUAGCAGUGAAAUGCGUAGAUAUAGGAAGGAACACCAGUGGCGAAGGCGACCACCUGGACUGAUACUGACACUGAGGUGCGAAAGCGUGGGGAGCAAACAGGAUUAGAAACCCGUGUAGUCC